GGCAGUGAUGGUUUGGUGGUUAAGGCUCUGGGUUCCUGAUCAGGUUCCUGAUCAGGGGUUCAAGUCCCAGCACUGCCA